rnacentral:lncRNA from 1 species
AAUCCAAACUUUCCAAAUAACAUAAUUAAUUUCGACUCACUCCAACAAAGUCAAUUACAAAAGAAAAAAAAAUUAAUCCAUCUCUCACGUCUCUAAUUUUUACGAUAUUCAGCCUGAUUGGCGUAAUUAUUGAAAAAAUAAUUUUUACAUAAUUAAUUUUUAUUUGGAGAAUUAAUUUUUGGUUAAAAAUUGUAAAGUAUUUUGUUGAGUCUAGAUGAAAAUCGAUUUUUUCUGAAGUAAUUUUUGUAAAACUGUUCGGUGAAUUUUUUUACUAUUUGCAAGUAAUAAUUUUCAUUGCUUGAUUUUAUUUUUAAAAUUUAAUUUGAAUUUAUUUUAAAUUUAGAAUUUAAAAUUUAAAAUUUUGAAUUUAAAAUUUGAACUAGAAAUUAAAAUUUUAUAUUUGAAUUUAUAAAUAUAAAUUUAAACUUUAAAAUUCUUAAAUUUUUAAAUUUUAAAUU